UACGAAGGGGGCUAGCGUUGUUCGGAAUUACUGGGCGUAAAGGGCGCGUAGGCGGCUCUGUGCGUCGGGCGUGAAAGCCCUGGGCUCAACCCAGGAGUGGCGCUCGAUACGGCGGAGCUCGAGUGUGGGAGAGGAUGGUGGAAUUCCCAGUGUAGAGGUGAAAUUCGUAGAUAUUAGGAAGAACACCGGUGGCGAAGGCGGCCCACUGGAUCGGUACUGACGCUGAGGUGCGAAAGCGUGGGGGAGCAAACAGG
rnacentral:rRNA from 1 species